CCUCUCAUGGCGUAGUGGUUAACGCGCUCUAACUAGAGAUCGGGGAGUCGUGAGUUCCAUUCUCACUGAGAAGA
rnacentral:tRNA from 1 species